rnacentral:rRNA from 1 species
UGCUAACGUCCGUCGUGAAGAGGGAAACAACCCAGACCGCCAGCUAAGGUCCCAAAGUCAUGGUUAAGUGGGAAACGAUGUGGGAAGGCACAGACAGCCAGGAUGUUGGCUUAGAAGCAGCCAUCAUUUAAAGAAAGCGUAAUAGCUCACUGGUCGAGUCGGCCUGCGCGGAAGAUGUAACGGGGCUAAACCAUGCACCGAAGCUGCGGCAGCGACGCUUAUGCGUUGUUGGGUAGGGGAGCGUUCUGUAAGCCGUUGAAGGUGUGCUGUGAGGCAUGCUGGAGGUAUCAGAAGUGCGAAUGCUGACAUAAGUAACGAUAAAGCGGGUGAAAAGCCCGCUCGCCGGAAGACCAAGGGUUCCUGUCCAACGUUAAUCGGGGCAGGGUGAGUCGACCCCUAAGGCGAGGCCGAAAGGCGUAGUCGAUGGGAAACAGGUUAAUAUUCCUGUACUUGGUGUUACUGCGAUGGAGGGACGGAGAAGGCUAUGUUAGCCGGGCGACGGUUGUCCCGGUUUAAGCAUG